UACUAAAGGACACCAUUAAUAAGAAGAGACUUGGCUUGGGCCAAGAAACAUGAGUGGAAAUCUGUCAAUAUGUCAUCAUGAAGCUGGUUGAGAGAAUGCCAAGAGUGUGCAAAGGGUAGCUACUUUGAAAAAUCUAAAAUAAUAUAUUUUGUUUUAACACUUUUUUGGUUACUACAUGAUUCCAUAUGUGUUAUUUCAUAGUUUUGAUGUCUUUACAAAUUAUUCUACAAUGUAGAAAAACCCUUGAAUGAGUAGGUGUUCUAAAACCCUUGAAUGAGUAGGUGUUCUAAAACCCUUGAAUGAGUAGGUGUUCUAAAACCCUUGAAUGAGUAGGUGUUCUAAAACCCUUGAAUGAGUAGGUGUUCUAAAACCCUUGAAUGAGUAGGUGUUCUAAAACCCUGGAAUGAGUAGGUGUUCUAAAACCCUUGAAUGAGUAGGUGUUCUAAAACCAUUGAAUGAGUAGGUGUUCUAAAACCCUUGAAUGAGUAGGUGUUCUAAAACCCUUGAAUGAGUAGGUGUUCUAAAACCCUUGAAUGAGUAGGUGUUCUAAAACCCUUGAAUGAGUAGGUGUUCUAAAACCCUUGAAUGAGUAGGUGUUCUAAAACCCUUGAAUGAGUAGGUGUUCUAAAACCCUUGAAUGAGUAGGUGUUCUAAAACCCUUGAAUGAGUAGGUGUUCUAAAACCCUUGAAUGAGUAGGUGUUCUAAAACCCUUGAAUGAGUAGGUGUUCUAAAACCCUUGAAUGAGUAGGUGUUCUAAAACCCUGGAAUGAGUAGGUGUUCUAAAACCCUUGAAUGAGUAGGUGUUCUAAAACCCUUGAAUGAGUAGGUGUUCUAAAACCCUUGAAUGAGUAGGUGUUCUAAAACCAUUGAAUGAGUAGGUGUUCUAAAACCCUUGAAUGAGUAGGUGUUCUAAAACCCUUGAAUGAGUAGGUGUUCUAAAACCCUUGAAUGAGUAGGUGUUCUAAAACCAUUGAAUGAGUAGGUGUUCUAAAACCAUUGAAUGAGUAGGUGUUCUAAAACCCUUGAAUGAGUAGGUGUUCUAAAACCCUUGAAUGAGUAGGUGUUCUAAAACCCUUGAAUGAGUAGGUGUUCUAAAACCCUUGAAUGAGUAGGUGUUCUAAAACCCUUGAAUGAGUAGGUGCUCUAAAACCCUUGAAUGAGUAGGUGUUCUAAAACCCUUGAAUGAGUAGGUGUUCUAAAACCCUUGAAUGAGUAGGUGUUCUAAAACCCUUGAAUGAGUAGGUGUUCUAAAACCCUUGAAUGAGUAGGUGUUCUAAAACCCUUGAAUGAGUAGGUGUUCUAAAAACCUUGAAUGAGUAGGUGUUCUAAAACCCUUGAAUGAGUAGGUGUUCUAAAACCCUUGAAUGAGUAGGUGUUCUAAAACCCUUGAAUGAGUAGGUGUUCUAAAACCCUUGAAUGAGUAGGUGUUCUAAAACCCUUGAAUGAGUAGGUGUUCUAAAACCCUUGAAUGAGUAGGUGUUCUAAAAC